CCGGCUUACCAACCCGAUGCAAACUGCGAAUACCGGAGAAUGUUAUCACGGGAGACACACGGCGGGUGCUAACGUCCGUCGUGAAGAGGGAAACAACCCAGACCGCCAGCUAAGGUCCCAAAGUCAUGGUUAAGUGGGAAACGAUGUGGGAAGGCCCAGACAGCCAGGAUGUUGGCUUAGAAGCAGCCAUCAUUUAAAGAAAGCGUAAUAGCUCACUGGUCGAGUCGGCCUGCGCGGAAGAUGUAACGGGGCUAAACCAUGCACCGAAGCUGCGGCAGCGACACUGUGUGUUGUUGGGUAGGGGAGCGUUCUGUAAGCCUGUGAA
rnacentral:rRNA from 1 species